rnacentral:rRNA from 1 species
AUUGAACGCUGGCGGCAGGCCUAACACAUGCAAGUCGAGCGGAUGAAGGGAGCUUGCUCCUGGAUUCAGCGGCGGACGGGUGAGUAAUGCCUAGGAAUCUGCCUGGUAGUGGGGGAUAACGUCCGGAAACGGGCGCUAAUACCGCAUACGUCCUGAGGGAGAAAGUGGGGGAUCUUCGGACCUCACGCUAUCAGAUGAGCCUAGGUCGGAUUAGCUAGUUGGUGGGGUAAAGGCCUACCAAGGCGACGAUCCGUAACUGGUCUGAGAGGAUGAUCAGUCAAACCUGGACUGUGGCAACGGUCCAGACCCCACGGGAGGCAGCAGUGGGGAAUAUUGGACAAUGGGCGAAAGCCUGAUCCAGCCAUGCCGCGUGUGUGAAGAAGGUCUUCGGAUUGUAAAGCACUUUAAGUUGGGAGGAAGGGCAGUAAGUUAAUACCUUGCUGUUUUGACGUUACCAACAGAAUAAGCACCGGCUAACUUCGUG